UAGGUUAUUAAGGGCGUAUGGAGGAUGCCUUGGCACAAAAAGGCGAUGAAGGACGCGGCAUGACUGCGAUAAGCGUCGGGGAGCCGUCUAGCGGGCUUUGAUCCGGCGGUGUCCGAAUGGGGCAACCCAUGGCGAGUAAUGUCGCCAUAUCUUUAUCCGUAAGAGAUAAAGGAGCAAACCCGGGGAAGUAAAACAUUUCAGUACCCGGAGGAAAAGAAAAAAAGAAUCAAUCUAUUAUUCAUGGGUCCGGAUAGUCGGGCUAAUGAAUAAUAUUUUGAUAAUAUUCCCCCAGUAGCGGCGAGCGAAAAGGGAGGAGUCCAAACCCAUCCGAAUUGAUUAGUUGAACGGUUUUGGAAAAGCCGACCAAAGGGGGUAAUAGUCCCGUAAGCGAAAAUCUUUUUAAUACUUUCUGGUUAUUUUCUUGAGUACCGCGGGGAAAGACUGCCCCGCGGGAAGCCGGGAGAACUACACUCCCAAGACUAAAUACUUUUUGUGACCGAUAGUGAACUAGUACCGUGAGGGAAAGGUGAAAAGCAGCCCGGUGAGGGCGAUGAAAUAGAUCCUGAAACCAUACGCUUACAAAGAGCGGGAGCCCGCAAGGGUGACCGUGUGCCUAUUGAAGAAUGAGCCAACGACUUUAUAGGAACGGCUUGGGUAAACCUCGUUUGAGGCGGACCCGUAGGGAAACCAAGUCUGAAUAGGGCGUUUUUGUCGUUCUUAUAAGACCCGAAGCCAGGCGAGCUUACCAUGGUCAGGUUGAACCCCGCAGAAAUGCGGGGGGAGGACCGCACCCACUAGCCGUGCGACACUAGGGGAUGAACUGUGGUAAGAAGUGAAAAGCUAAUCGAGCCUGGGAAUAGCUGGUUCUCUCCGAAAUAGUUUUAGGACUAGCCCCGCGUGUUUUUUAUUGGAGGUAGAGCACUGGUUGGUAUUGAUUGGCGCAAGCUAGCAAGACCAGUCAAACUCCGAAUUCCAUUAAAAUAACUCGGGAGUCAGUAUUCGGGGGCAAAGCUCCGAAUACAAGAGAGCAAGAACUCGGACCAUCGUCUAAGGUCCCUAAAUUUUGGCUAAGUGUAGAAGGAAGUGAUGCGUCGAAGACAAAUAGGAGGUUGGCUUAGAGGUAGCCAUCCUUUAAAGAGUGUGUAACAACUCACUAUUAUAUUUCCCUUUGGGAGAUUGACGCAUCGCGCCGAAGAUAUAACGGGACUAAGCCAGAUACCGAAGACAUGGGUUUGCGAAUUUUAAUUCGCAAGCGGUAGGAGAGCGUUUUUAGCGCAGCGAAGAUUGACCCGCGAGGGCGAUUGGAGCGCUAAGAAGUGAAAAUGUUGGCAUGAGUAACCUGCAAGACAGAUGAGAAAUCUGUCCGCUGAAAGCCUGAGGUUUCCUUGGCAAUGAAAAUCAGCCAAGGGUUAGGCGGUCCUAAGGCAAUGGAGAAAUCCGCAGCCGAUGGACAGACGGUUAAUAUUCCGUCCCUAUCUCAAGCGCUUUUACGGAAUGACGAAGUUUAGUAUGCCGGGCGCCUUAUUGGAUUGGCGUUCUUUGCAUCAGAGUUUUUGGAAGGCAAAUCCUUCCAAAUGCGUUUAAUCGCAAACUUAAGUGUCGAGAAAAUUUUCCCGUUCGCGGGAAGAAAUUUGGCAAAGCAAGCUUCCAAGAAAACUUUCGUAAAUUAGCUUGAGGUAUCCGUACCGAAAACCGACACAGGUGGGCAGGGCGAGCAGCCCACAGCGAACGAGUGAUCCGUGGUUAAGGAACUCGGCAAAAAAGCGGCCGUAAGUUAGCGAUAUGGCCUGCCCCGCUUAGCGGGGCCGCAGCUAAAGAUUCCCUGGCGACUGUUUAUCAAAAACACAGCUCCCUGCUAACUCGCGAGAGGAUGUAUAGGGGGUGAUGCCUGACCUAUGCGAGAAGGUUAACGGCGGAUGUGGUAUUCCCAGCAAUGGAGAUAUUGCUGAUGCCCGAAGCCCUCGUAAAUGUCAGCGAUAACUAUAAUCGUUCUAAGGUCACAAGCGUAAUUCCUUGUCUGGUAAGUUCAGACGUGCACGAAAGGCCUAACGACUGGGGAACUGUCUCAACCACGAGCUCGGUGAAAUUGCAAUUCCAGCGAAGAUGCUGGGUACCUGUAGCAAGACGAAAAGACCCCGGGAGCUUUACUGUAACUUAGUAUUGGCUAUAGGACUUUAAUGCGUAGCAUAGAAGGGAGGCUUUGAAACCGUGUUUUCGGAUGCGGCGGAGCCGCCAGUGAAAUACCUUUCUUUAAAGUUUUAUAAUCUAACCGGCGCGGCAAAAACGCGUUGGGACAGUGCUUGGUGGGCAGUUUUAGUGGGGCGCUAUCCUCCAAAAGCGUAACGGAGGAGUCCAUUAAGGUCGACUAGCUUCGGAUGGAAAUCGAAGCGAUAGGGCAAAUCCAAAAGUCGGCUUAACUGCAAGGCAUACAUGCCGCGCAGAUGCGAAAGCAGGGAUUAGUGAACUGUUUGUGGUUAGUAGAAACGCAAACAAUCAUCGGAUAAAAGCUACCCCGGGGAUAACAGGCUAGUCUGGUCCAAGAGUCCACAUCGACGACCAGGUUCGGCACCUCGAUGUCGGCUCAUCUUAUCCUGGGGCUGGAGAAGGUCCCAAGGGUUUGGCUGUUCGCCAAUUAAAAAGGUACGUGAGCUGGGUUCA
rnacentral:rRNA from 1 species